rnacentral:rRNA from 1 species
AUUGAACGCUGGCGGCAGGCCUAACACAUGCAAGUCGAGCGGAGCGGCGGACGGGUGAGUAAUGCCUAGGAAUCUGCCUGGCCGUGGGGGAUAACGUCCGGAAACGGGCGCUAAUACCGCAUACUAUCAGAUGAGCCUAGGUCGGAUUAGCUAGUUGGUGGGGUAAAGGCGUACCAAGGCGACGAACCGUAACUGGUCUGAGAGGAUGAUCAGUCAACCUGGAACUGAGCCACGGUCCAAACGCCUACGGGAGGCAGCAGUGGGGAAUAUGGGACAAUGGGCGAAAGCGUGAUCCAGCCAUGCCGCGUGGGUGAAGGAGGUCUUAGGAUUGUAAAGCACUUUAAGUUGGGAGGCGUUACCAACAGAAUAAGCACCGGCUAACUUCGUGCCAGCAGCCGCGGUAAUUC